ensembl:lncRNA
GUUCUUUAUCCCCACUGCUCUCCCGGGACAGUGGGGCAGAUCACUUGCAAUUAGUACUGCCCUGAAAAAAACUAGGGUGUGUAAUUCACAUCAAUAUGUGCAGCCAAUGGGGAAAAUACAAGGCAGUGGCAGAACCGUGUCCAACUCCUCUGCCUGCCUUCCUGACUCUCAAGCACAAAAACACCGAGGUCUUAGGGCCAGCCUCUCUGAUAUCUCUUGCUCUGACAAGCACCCUCUCUGGGAGCCUCUGAGAUGCCCAGCUGUCAUUGCUUCUAAUCCUCUGAGCCUCAAGCCCCCUGACCUGCCAAGAGUUGGGCUGUUUCCCCACAGCAGAGUUGUUUGGGCCCCAGUAAGGUCUUGCUGAGUCCAGAGGAAACUUGGCUACUAGAGAUUAAGGAAUAAGAAUGUUUUCAGGACAGGAGCCAUAGCUUGACUGUAUACAGCCCAGAAGUGAGCACAAGUAUCCCACUCAACAAACAUCACCUCUUCCAUGAAGUCUUCCAUGAUGCCACCUCCAGGCUCUCAGUCAUUUCCCAGGACUAUAUUCACACCACUAUUCUGGUGCCUGCUAACUGUGGCCAGAUGGGGAUUCUCUCAUCUCUUCCUCCUCCACACUUCCUGGGGGAGAGGGCCUUCUGUAAAACUGAGUGAAGAGACAAGGAUGUGGCUCGUAACAGUUCAUUGAAAUUAUUUUUUUAAUUUAUUUAUUUUAAUUGGAG